rnacentral:rRNA from 1 species
UUGGUUAAGUUAGAAAGGGCGCACGGUGGAUGCCUUGGCACUAGGAGCCGAAGAAGGACGGGACUAACACCGAUAUGCUUUGGGGAGCUGUACGUAAGCGUUGAUCCAGAGAUUUCCGAAUGGGGGAACCCACUAUCUUUAGUCGGAUAGUAUCCUUACGUGAAUACAUAGCGUGAGGAAGGCAGACCCAGGGAACUGAAACAUCUAAGUACCUGGAGGAAGAGAAAGAAAAAUCGAUUUCCUGAGUAGCGGCGAGCGAAACGGAAAGAGCCCAAACCAAGAAGCUUGCUUCUUGGGGUUGUAGGACACUCUAUACGGAGUUACAAAAGAAAGUUAUAAAUGAAGCGGUCUGGAAAGGCCCGCCAAAGACGGUAACAGCCCGGUAGUUGAAAUGGCUUUCCCUCCAGAGUGGAUCCUGAGUACGGCGGAACACGUGAAAUUCCGUCGGAAUCCGGGAGGACCAUCUCCCAAGGCUAAAUACUCCCUAGUGACCGAUAGUGAACCAGUACCGUGAGGGAAAGGUGAAAAGCACCCCGGAAGGGGAGUGAAACAGUUCCUGAAACCGUGUGCCUACAAGUAGUUAGAGCCCGUUAAUGGGUGAUAGCGUGCCUUUUGUAGAAUGAACCGGCGAGUUACGAUUUGUUGCAAGGUUAAGCGGAAAAAGCGGAGCCGUAGCGAAAGCGAGUCUGAAUAGGGCGCAUAAGUAACAGGUCGUAGACCCGAAACCAGGUGAUCUACCCAUGUCCAGGAUGAAGGUAAGGUAAUACUUACUGGAGGUCCGAACCCACGCACGUUGAAAAGUGCGGGGAUGAGGUGUGGGUAGCGGAGAAAUUCCAAUCGAACUUGGAGAUAGCUGGUUCUCUCCGAAAUAGCUUUAGGGCUAGCCUCGAGGUAAAGAGUCAUGGAGGUAGAGCACUGUUUGGACUAGGGGCCCUUCUCGGGUUACCGAAUUCAGAUAAACUCCGAAUGCCAUGUACUUAUACUCGGGAGUCAGACUGCGAGUGAUAAGAUCCGUAGUCGAAAGGGAAACAGCCCAGACCACCAGUUAAGGUCCCCAAAUAUAUGUUAAGUGGAAAAGGAUGUGGGGUUGCUUAGACAACCAGGAUGUUGGCUUAGAAGCAGCCACCAUUGAAAGAGUGCGUAAUAGCUCACUGGUCGAGUGACCCCGCGCCGAAAAUGUACCGGGGCUAAACAUAUUACCGAAACUGUGGAUGAACCUCUUUAGAGGUUCGUGGUAGGAGAGCGUUCUAAGGGCGGUGAAGUCAGACCGGAAGGACUGGUGGAGCGCUUAGAAGUGAGAAUGCCGGUAUGAGUAGCGAAAGAAGGGUGAGAAUCCCUUCCACCGAAUAUCUAAGGUUUCCUGAGGAAGGCUCGUCCGCUCAGGGUUAGUCGGGACCUAAGCCGAGGCCGAUAGGCGUAGGCGAUGGACAACAGGUAGAGAUUCCUGUACCAGUGCUAAUUGUUUAACCGAUGGGGUGACACAGAAGGAUAGGGAAUCG